UUUCUAUGAUGAAACAAACUAGCUCACUAUGAUUUAACAAUGAAAUUAUGUGAACACCGAGAAAC